UACGUAGGGGGCGAGCGUUGUCCGGAUUUAUUGGGCGUAAAGAGCUCGUAGGCGGCUUGGCAAGUCGGGUGUGAAAACUCCAGGCUCAACCUGGAGAUGCCACUCGAGACUGCUAUGGCUAGAGUCCGGUAGGGGACCACGGAAUUCCUGGUGUAGCGGUGAAAUGCGCAGAUAUCAGGAGGAACACCGGUGGCGAAGGCGGUGGUCUGGGCCGGCACUGACGCUGAGGAGCGAAAGCGUGGGGAGCGAACAGG
rnacentral:rRNA from 1 species